GCCGGGCACGGUGGCACGCGCCUGUAAUCCCAGCUACCCGGAAGGCUGAGCCCGGAGGAUCGCUUGAGUCCAGGAGUUCUGGGCUGCAGUGCGCUAUGCCCAUCGGGUGUCCGCACUAAGUUCGGCAUCAAUAUGGUGACCUCCCGGGAGCGGGGAAACACCAGGUUGCCUAGGAGAGGUGAACCAGCUCAGGUCGGAAACAGAGCAGGUCAAAACUCCUGUGCUGAUCAGUAGAUAUCAAGUAUCAAACUAAAAGGUCCAGCACUGUAGGACUUUGAGAGAGGGAU
ensembl:misc_RNA Metazoa_SRP Metazoan signal recognition particle RNA